rnacentral:rRNA from 1 species
UACGGAGGGUGCAAGUGUUGUUCGGCCUUACUGGGCGUAAAGCGCACGUAGGUGGCGACGUAAGUCGGGUGUGAAAGCCCCGGGCUCAACCUGGGAAUUGCAUUCGAGACUGCAUUGCUGGAGUACGGAAGAGGAGGGCGGAAUUACCGGUGUAGCGGUGAAAUGCGUAGAUAUCGGGAGGAACAUCAGUGGCGAAGGCGGCCCUCUGGUCCAGUACUGACACUCAAGUGCGAAAGCGUGGGGAGCAAACAGG